rnacentral:rRNA from 1 species
UACAGAGGUCCCAAGCGUUGUUCGGAUUCACUGGGCGUAAAGGGUGCGUAGGCGGUGGGAUAAGUCUGGUGUGAAAGCUCGGAGCUCAACUCCGAAAUUGCAUUGGAAACUAUCUCACUAGAGGAUUGGAGGGGAGACUGGAAUUCUCAGUGUAGCAGUGAAAUGCGUAGAUAUUGAGAGGAACACCAGUGGCGAAGGCGAGUCUCUGGACAAUUCCUGACGCUGAGGCACGAAAGCCGGGGGAGCAAACAGG